AUUGGUAGAGGUCGCAUUGUUAAUAAGUAAUUUUGUUGAGUUAAGCACGAAGACGCAAAAUAAAAGGUAACGGUGCCGAAAUAUAUAAGUGAUGCUUUAAGCUUAUAUAUUGGGGUCAUAUAAAAUAUAUAUGGCACUGUCACAUUAACAUGUGGAGUACUAUCUUU
rnacentral:ncRNA from 1 species